UUCGAUGAAAACCCCAGGAGCAAACUCAUGCUCUUCAAAACCCUAACUCAUUCAAUUUCACUCAAAAUCAAAGAAAUAAAACCAAAUUGAAGGUAAUUCAAGGCUGAAUUUGUGAUCAUCAUACUUAGUAGAUCACAAGUGUGCAAGGCGGGACGGAUAACCACUUAAAGGGAAAGCUCUAAAGGUAACUCAUAUGAUGAUGCGGAUGGCGAUCAAGCUGAGGAAAGAACCGAACACGCAUGCUAAAGAAGCUUCCGCAACUAAAUUAUGUCUUUUGUCACUAAACACUUUUGGUGUUGUUUGCUAAACUUAUGUAGCACCUUAUCAACAUCUUUGGGUGGUUUAAACUUAUGUAAAUAUGGUUACAAACUUAGUAAAAGUCUUUUGAAGGUUUUGAAUGUUAUAUAAAUGUCGUUAA